CGCUCUCUCUGAAAUUAAAGCUGGGGACCGCAAGGCCUGGCACUUACGAGCCCGCGGCCUAUCAGCUAGUUGGCGAGGUAACGGCUCACCAGGCGACGGGUAGCUGGUCUGAGAGGACGACCAGCCACACUGGAACUAGAGGUCCAGACACCUACGGGUGGCAGCAGUCGAGAAUUUUUCACAUGGAAACCCUGAUGGAGCGACGCCGCGUGGGGGAUGAAUGGCUUCGCCCAACCCCUGUCAUUUGCGACCAAGAUUGUCGGACGAACACUCCGAAGGAUGGUAGCGGAAGAGGAAGGGACGGCUAACUCUGUGCCAGCACCGUAAUACAGAAGUCCCAAGCGUUGUUCGGAUUCACUGGGCGU
rnacentral:rRNA from 1 species